GUGCUUGCUUUGACAGCACAUACACAAAAAUUGGAAUGAUACAGAGAAGAUUAACAUGGCCCCUGUGCAAGGAUGACAUACAAAUUCAUGAAGCGUUCCAUAUUUUA
ensembl:snRNA Gm23422 predicted gene, 23422